rnacentral:misc_RNA from 1 species
AAGUCGUAACAAGGUUUCCGUAGGUGAACCUGCGGAAGGAUCAUUACCGAGUGAGGGCCCUCUGGGUCCAACCUCCCACCCGUGUUUAUUUUACCUUGUUGCUUCGGCGGGCCCGCCUUAACUGGCCGCCGGGGGGCUCACGCCCCCGGGCCCGCGCCCGCCGAAGACACCCUCGAACUCUGUCUGAAGAUUGAAGUCUGAGUGAAAAUAUAAAUUAUUUAAAACUUUCAACAACGGAUCUCUUGGUUCCG